UUUCUUUUUACUCCUGUUUACAUUCUCAUUUGACUGCCCAGGAUCAAGAAAAGCCUUAUCAAAACCCUGAUCAGGAAAAAACUUCUUCUCCAAUUGAUAAACCAUCUUAUAAUGCUUAUCCUUCUCCCAAGGAUAAGUAAAAUUGUCAUAAAAGUACAACUCUUCUUCCUUCUUGUGUAAUGUAGGUAGCUCCACAACUUCCUGCUUCAACUCAACAAGCUCAUUAUCCUUGUCCCUGUUAUUCUCAUCCUCUGAAUCCGACCCACCAAACAUUCUUUUCCUUCUCUUAUUGUAAUAUUUCCUUUUCCCUUUAUCCAUUUCCAUAAUACCCGAAUUGGGUUCUUCAGGCUGCGGUUCGGCUUGUGGAGAAGAAGAUUUCAAAUUCAAUUUUCUGUCGACCCAAUCGUCGAACCCAAGUUCUGAACCGGGUAGGGGUUCUGAAUCAUUAGGUUUUGACUUGGGAAGGAAGCGUUGUUGGCGAGAUUUUAGGGUUGGUGAAGGUGGGUUUGCAGGGCGGGAGAUUAUCAUUUCGUAUUGAAGUGGGUAUGGGGUUGAAGUUGUAGAGAAAAAGUGAAGUGAAUGGGAUUUGAGCAAAAGGGAAUUGAGCAUUGAGGGAAAGAAG
rnacentral:misc_RNA from 1 species